CCCUUCUCGAUUCAUAUAAAAUCAAAACUCAUUCUUACUUUCUACUCCAUUUCCUCUUACGUUCAGCACUUUUAAAAUCAAAAUCCUCUCACUCACAUCGUACAAACUUUCAGUGGCUCAGUGUUGAUAGAUUAGUUUCUCGCUUUGAAGUUUCAAAAAUAACUAGGUUUGCUGCUUUAGUUCUUACUUCACUGUUCCUUGUUGCGGUUGUUGUCAAUUUCUUCUAUUUCCAUUGUACUUUCUGGUAUGUUCCCUUCUACAUCAUUUAAUCAAAUGUUAUUCAAAAUUUUUUUUUAAAUUUAUAUAAAUGUACCUGUAGUCAAAAUAAACUGUUCACAUUGUAUUUUUGUUGUAUGAAUAUUUGUUUUUGUGAUCAUAUUAAUAUCUUCUAAUAUAUUUGUUCUAUUUUAAAAUAUACU